UACGUAGGGGGCUAGCGUUGUCCGGAAUCAUUGGGCGUAAAGCGCGUGUAGGCGGUCCGGUAAGUCCGACUGUGAAAGUCGAGGGCUCAACCCUCGAAUGCCGGUGGAUACUGUCGGGCUUGAGUACGGGAGAGGCGAGUGGAAUUCCUGGUGUAGCGGUGAAAUGCGCAGAUAUCAGGAGGAACACCAAUGGCGAAGGCAGCUCGCUGGGACGUUACUGACGCUGAGACGCGAAAGCGUGGGGAGCAAACAGG
rnacentral:rRNA from 1 species